rnacentral:rRNA from 1 species
UACGUAGGGUGCAAGCGUUGUCCGGAAUUAUUGGGCGUAAAGAGCUCGUAGGCGGUUUGUCGCGUCGAAUGUGAAAACCCGGGGCUCAACCCCGGGCCUGCAUUCGAUACGGGCAGACUAGAGUUCGGUAGGGGAGUCUGGAAUUCCUGGUGUAGCGGUGAAAUGCGUAGAUAUUGGGAGGAACACCGGUGGCGAAGGCGGCCCUCUGGACCGGUACUGACGCUGAUGCGCGAAAGCGUGGGGAGCAAACGGG